AACGAACGCUGGCGGCGUGCCUAACACAUGCGAGUCGAGCGCGAAAAGGGCAACCUGAGUAGAGCGGCGCACGGGUGCGUAACACGUGGGUAAUCUGCCUUAGAGUCGAGGAUAACCUUCCGAAAGGUUGGCUAAUACUCGGUAAGCUUACGGUGUCUUCGGACGCUGUGGGAAAAGUAGGCCUCUGUUUACAAGCUUACGCUCUGAGAUGAGCCCGCGGCCCAUCAGCUAGUUGGCGGUGUAACGGACCACCAAGGCAACGACGGGUAGCUGGUCUGAGAGGACGAUCAGCCACACUGGAACUGAGACACGGUCCAGACUCCUACGGGAGGCAGCAGUGGGGAAUUUUCCACAAUGGGCGAAAGCCUGAUGGAGCAACGCCGCGUGUGUGAUGAAGGUUUUCGGAUCGUAAAGCACUUUCGACCGGGACGAAAAACCUCUGGCUAACAUCCAGGGGCCUGACGGUACCGGGAGAAGAAGCACCGGCUAACCCUGUGCCAGCCGCCGCGGUAA
rnacentral:rRNA from 1 species